CAACGCUCCUGAGUUUGUGUCCCACGUCACCUUCAGUCCGCUCAGAGCAGAGGAAUCAUUUCCAUAGAGAGGAGGCUUUGCAUCGUCAGCUGAUCCUCCACUGAACUGAGAAGCUUUAUAGUCCUGUGACUCCAACUCUGCAGGACUCAGACCCGUCAGUCGACCACAACCACCAUGACUCUCAUCACCCUCCUCAUCUGGACGCUGGCCUGCUGCAGCUUCACAGGAUGCAGCGGCCAGAUGACUGUGACUCAGCCUCCAGUCGUGACAUUUACUCCAGGAUCCACUGUCACGCUGACCUGUAAAACCAACCCCAGUGUUACAGGUAAUUAUUUGUCCUGGUACCAGCAGAAACCUGGACAGGCUCCCAAGCUUCUUAUAUACUAUGCAUCAACUCUACAUUCAGGAACUCCCUCUCGAUUCAGUGGCAGUGGCUCUGGUUCUAGCUUCACCUUAACCAUCAGCGGUGUUCAGGCUGAAGAUGUUGGAGAUUAUUACUGUCUCGGUUAUCAUAGCAGUGGAGUGUCCACACAGUGAUUUAGAGCCGUACAAAAACCUCCCUCAGUUUGACUGAAGUGAAACUGGUCUGCUGCAGCUGCACAGAGAAUAACUGGUCCAGUGAACACAACACAAGUCUUCAAGCAGAGCGGCAAUGAAGCUAAACACAACUGAAACAAACU